GAUGAACGCUGGCGGCGUGCCUAAUACAUGCAAGUCGAGCGAACAGAUGAGGAGCUUGCUCCUCUGACGUUAGCGGCGGACGGGUGAGUAACACGUGGAUAACCUACCUAUAAGACUGGGAUAACUUCGGGAAACCGGAGCUAAUACCGGAUAAUAUAUUGAACCGCAUGGUUCAAUAGUGAAAGACGGUUUUGCUGUCACUUAUAGAUGGAUCCGCGCCGCAUUAGCUAGUUGGUAAGGUAACGGCUUACCAAGGCAACGAUGCGUAGCCGACCUGAGAGGGUGAUCGGCCACACUGGAACUGAGACACGGUCCAGACUCCUACCGGAGGCCGCAGUAGGGAAUCUUCCGCAAUGGGCGAAAGCCUGACGGAGCAACGCCGCGUGAGUGAUGAAGGUCUUCGGAUCGUAAAACUCUGUUAUUAGGGAAGAACAAAUGUGUAAGUAACUAUGCACGUCUUGACGGUACCUAAUCAGAAAGCCACGGCUAACUACGUG
rnacentral:rRNA from 1 species